UGGGGAAUCUUGCACAAUGGGGGAAACCCUGAUGCAGCGAUGCCGCGUGAGUGAAGAAGGCCUUUGGGUUGUAAAGCUCUUUCGUCGGGGAAGAAAAUGACUGUACCCGAAUAAGAAGGUCCGGCUAACUUCGUGCCAGCAGCCGCGGUAAUACGAAGGGACCUAGCGUAGUUCGGAAUUACUGGGCUUAAAGAGCUCGUAGGUGGUUAGAAAAGUUGGUGGUGAAAUCCCAAGGCUUAACCUUGGAACUGCUACUAAAACUUUUUAACUAGAGUGUGAUAGAGGAAAGCAGAAUUUCUAGUGUAGAGGUGAAAUUCGUAGAUAUUAGAAAGAAUACCAAUUGCGAAGGCAGCUUUCUGGAUCAUUACUGACACUGAGGAAAGCAUGGGAAGCGAAGAGG
rnacentral:rRNA from 1 species